CCUACGGGGUGCUGCAGUCGAGAAUCAUUCACAAUGGGGGAAACCCUGAUGGUGCGACGCCGCGUGGGGGAAUGAAGGUCUUCGGAUUGUAAACCCCUGUCAUGUGGGAGCAAAUUAAAAAGAUAGUACCACAAGAGGAAGAGACGGCUAACUCUGUGCCAGCAGCCGCGGUAAUACAGAGGUCUCAAGCGUUGUUCGGAAUCACUGGGCGUAACGCGUGCGUAGGCUGUUUCGUAAGUCGUGUGUGAAAGGCGCGGGCUCAACCCGCGGACGGCACAUGAUACUGCGAGACUAGAGUAAUGGAGGGGGAACCGGAAUUCUCGGUGUAGCAGUGAAAUGCGUAGAUAUCGAGAGGAACACUCGUGGCGAAGGCGGGUUCCUGGACAUUAACUGACGCUGAGGCACGAAGGCCAGGGGAGCGAAAGGGAUUAGAUACCCGGGUAGUC
rnacentral:rRNA from 1 species